AGUUAAGUGGCCGAAUAAUUUAGGUGUAUGAUUUUUAAUCAUAUUAUGAGCAAUGUUUCUUAGCUG